rnacentral:rRNA from 1 species
GGUCAAGCGAACAAGUGCAUGUGGUGGAUGCCUUGGCGAUCACAGGCGAUGAAGGACGCGGUAGCCUGCGAAAAGCGACGGGGAGCUGGCAAACGAGCUUCGAUCCGUCGAUGUCCGAAUGGGGAAACCCGGCCCUUCUGGGUCAUCCUGAGCUGAAUACAUAGGCUCAGUGAAGCGAACGCGGUGAACUGAAACAUCUAAGUAACCGCAGGAAAAGAAAUCAACCGAGAUUCCCAAAGUAGUGGCGAGCGAAAUGGGAUCAGCCUGUACUCUUUAUCACGACCGUUAGCCGAACACUCUGGAAAGUGUGGCCAUAGCAGGUGAUAGCCCUGUAGGCGAAAGCGGAUGUGUGGAACUAGGUGUACGACAAGUAGGGCGGGACACGUGAAAUCCUGUCUGAAGAUGGGGGGACCAUCCUCCAAGGCUAAAUACUCGUGAUCGACCGAUAGUGAACCAGUACCGUGAGGGAAAGGCGAAAAGAACCCCGGGAGGGGAGUGAAAUAGAUCCUGAAACCGCAUGCAUACAAACAGUCGGAGCCUCGCAAGGGGUGACGGCGUACCUUUUGUAUAAUGGGUCAGCGACUUACGUUCAGUAGCAAGCUUAACUGAUUAAGGCAGGCGUAGCGAAAGCGAGUCCGAAUAGGGCGUUCAGUUGCUGAGCGUAGACCCGAAACCAAGUGAUCUAUCCAUGGCCAGGUUGAAGAUGCGGUAACACGUACUGGAGGACCGAACCCAC